rnacentral:rRNA from 1 species
AACGAACGCUGGCGGCGCGUCUUAAGCAUGCAAGUCGAACGGCAAGAGAGGAGCUUGCUUCUCUCCUAGAGUGGCGGACUGGUGAGGAACACGUGGGUAAUCUACCCUUAAGAUGGGGAUAGCUGCUAGAAAUAGCAGGUAAUACCGAAUACACUCGGCAUAUCACAAGAGGUGUUGAGGAAAGGAAGCUACGGCUUCGCUUGAGGAUGAGCUUGCGUCCCAUUAGCUAGUUGGUGAGGUAACGGCCCACCAAGGCGACGAUGGGUAUCCGGCCUGAGAGGGUGAACGGACACAUUGGGACUGAGAUACGGCCCAAACUCCUACGGGAGGCAGCAGCUAAGAAUAUUCCGCAAUGGACGGAAGUCUGACGGAGCGACGCCGCGUGGAUGAAGAAGGCUGAAAAGUUGUAAAAUCCUUUUGUUGAUGAAGAAUAAGGGUGAGAGGGAAUGCUCAUCUGAUGACGGUAAUCGACGAAUAAGCCCCGGCUAAUUACGUGCCAGCAGCCGCGGUAAUACGUAGGGGGCAAGCGUUAUCCGGAAUUACUGGGCGUAAAGGGUGCGUAGGCGGCUAGUUAAGUCGAGGUUAAAAGGCAGUAGCUCAACUACUGUUGGGCCUUGAAACUAAUUAGCUUGAGUAUAGGAGAGGAAAGUGGAAUUCCCGGUGUAGCGGUGAAAUGCGUAGAUAUCGGGAGGAAUACCGGUGGCGAAGGCGACUUUCUGGACCAUAACUGACGCUGAGGCACGAAAGCGUGGGUAGCAAACAGG